GGGUAUAUAACUCAGAUGGUAGAGUUUUCGACUUUUAAUCGAACUGUCAUAGGUUCAAAUCCUAUUGUACCCU
rnacentral:tRNA from 1 species